rnacentral:tRNA from 1 species
GGAGGGGUGCCCGAGUGGCUAAAGGGGGCAGACUGUAAAUCUGUUGGCUUAUGCCUACGCUGGUUCGAAUCCAGCCUCCUCCACCA